rnacentral:misc_RNA from 1 species
GCAAACUUGGUCAUUUAGAGGAAGUAAAAGUCGUAACAAGGUUUCCGUAGGUGAACCUGCGGAAGGAUCAUCACCGAUCGACCAAACAACCUGUUUCCACACAUCCCCAUCGAACGCCUCCCGCUCUCUGCCUCGCCCCGGCUCUCUCCUUGCGGGAGGGGCUGGUGGGGGGCAUGGAGGGGAGCAGAUUGGAGCCGCUGGUUGGCUGAAUGAAUGGAGCACGUUUGGGUGAGCAUGGAAACAACUUUCAACAACGGAUCUCUUGGCUCUCGCAUCGAUGAAGAACGCAGC